GGAAAACCAACCAUGUGAUUAGAGAGCUGGGGCUUUGAGCCAUGUGGUAUCAACUCAACCUCUGGGAAGAGGAAGAGAACAAGAGAUUAAGAACCAUGGGCAAUCAUUCAAUUGAUCACCAGGAGAGCAAAGCAUCCUGACUCCAGGAAGAGAGGGCGAAAGAAGCGUCACCUUCAGCAUCCUUCUAGAUCUCGCCCUAAAUACAUGAACUGGUCAACUUUAUUAAAAACUUCAAAUCUACAUUCUUGCAGGAACAGUUGCAUGCAGAGACAGUCCAACUAUGGAAAUACUUCAGCAAGCACAGCCAAGUGCCUCCCCAGAGCUUUAGCCCCAGUUACUGCCUAGAGUAAAAACAAAACAAGAAAAUGGUCAAAAUGAGUCAAUCUCCUAAACUUCAACCGGAAAAGAGACAAGAGAACAAGACAAACUUCUCCAAUCCCACUUCUGAGAUAGUCAAAAGGCUCAAUCAUAAGUGCUGGAGGAAACUAAAUGGCUCCCUUGGACAGAUGCUCUGGUUCCUUCAAGCCACUAGGUAAGUGACCAAACAGUAUUCUGGUACUUCACCCAAAAAAAUAAAUUAUUUCUGGGCAGUAUGGCGGUAGCAUUAAAUUUAUUAGUAAAUUUUCCCGAAGAUUCUUGCAUUCCAGAUGACAGAUAUCAAUACUGACAAUAUUAAAAGGAGUAAAUUUUUGGCACCUACACAAGAAACAUAACAUCAACAAACUUAAGCUUAGGCUAGAGUCAAAUUUUAUAGUACAGAUAGGCCAAGGCUACCAAGUCAUAUUCAAACAAAUCACUAGGAACAUUCUGUAAUCAUUUAAAAACUAUUCUAGAAACGUAUCAACGAAAGAAUACAACAGAAACUGACAUAUCUGGAGCUUG
rnacentral:lncRNA from 10 species